GUGAGGAAUUUUGCGCAAUGGGGGCAACCCUGACGCAGCGACGCCGCGUGGAGGACGAAGUCUUUCGGGAUGUAAACUCCUGUCAGUGGGGACGAUAAUGACGGUACCCACAGAGGAAGCACCGGCUAACUCCGUGCCAGCAGCCGCGGUAAGACGGAGGGUGCAAGCGUUGUUCGGAAUUACUGGGCGUAAAGCGUAUGUAGGCGGCAAGUUAAGUUCAAUGUUAAAGCCCACGGCUCAACCGAGGAGAUGCAUUGAAUACUGGCUAGCUAGAGGGUGUUAGAGGAAGACGGAAUUCCCAGUGUAGCGGUGAAAUGCGUAGAUAUUGGGAGGAACAUCGGUAGCGAAAGCGGUCUUCUGGGACAUACCUGACGCUGAGGUACGAGAGCGUGGGGAGCAAACGGGAUUAGAUACCCGGGUAGUCC
rnacentral:rRNA from 1 species